UAACACUGGUUCAUCAAAUGUACUUUAUUGUUUAGGCGGAUGAACCACAGCUGAAAAAUGGAUCACAGUGCUUGUUACACCAUGUUUGUGGAAGUUAGAACAGGAAUGGUUGUGGCCCAUUACUCUGGAAGAGAUCACAGCUUGUCAUGCAGAGCAAAUAUUCGUUGUACCAUGUGCUUGAACAAAGUAUAUAAAGAAAGGAUGGAGGAGAUAGCAAAUAUUCUACAAUUCUGCAGCACAGGAGCGAUGUUGUAUGGUACAAUGCAGCUGGAAUUUUAGAUUUUCAUUUGCUGUGGAAUCUGGAGUCCCAAUUAUUAGUAAUCAUUGAAAACUCAAGAGAUUGCAGAUAGUGGAAUCUUGAGUUAAAAAAAAACUGCUGGAGGAACUCAGUUGGUCAGUGGCUUGUUUUAAAGUAUACCUGUUACAUUAAAUUUGCAAAUAUAUAAUAUAUCUUCAAAUGUCACCAAUCGCUCUGCAAGAAAUAUUAUUCUAUGAGCUCUCAGUAUAUACAUUAGAUUACAAUGCAAUAAAUGUUGCUUGAUCGUGUAUCCCACAAGUGUUAAGUGGAAGGGAUUACAACCCUUGGUGUGCAAUACUGGGGUGGGCCUUUUACUAUAGCCCUUACUGUGGAGUAUUGGAUGGCUGCACUGAUCUUCAGCAUAUCCCUCAGUAUGUAGCUCUGAACCAUGGAAUGCUCCAGUCCACAGUCUUCUGUGGCCUACUCUUCACUCUGGAAGACCAGUGAGUUUAGAGCCACCAAAGGCUUCUUCACCGCUCAUAAUCAUUCAACAGACAUGGAUGUUUGUCUUAGUGUGUGUCCUCGGGAACACAUAAAGCACAGAGUACCUACUCGGGAUGAACCUUGACAAAGACUACUGCAUCCUUUUCUGUGCGUGUAUGAAGGUUCCGCUCAAGUAACCAUCCAACAGGAGCACCAGCUCACUUUCCUGUCUUGGACGUUCUAUGCAGAAAACAACCCGAUUGACU